rnacentral:lncRNA from 1 species
UCACGAGAGCUAGGGCAAAUCUCCAUACGUGUGGGCCUCCGGCAGUUGUGGCUCAGCGUAGUACGACCACGCACGAGCACUAGGUACUGCUGUUUGGCUUAACGUAAGAAACCGGAGCUAACACAAAGGUAAACACGCCCGCCGAGGAUGCUGAGGCACCCAGGCAGUUUACAGUCUGGCGAUUCCCAAAAGGGACAAGAGGGAAACACGUGCUUACCCAGCUCUGUCCGAAGAGAGAGAGACUCACGUGCGCGUGUCUCCGU